rnacentral:rRNA from 1 species
UACGUAGGGUGCAAGCGUUAAUCGGAAUUACUGGGCGUAAAGCGUGCGCAGGCGGCUUUGCAAGACAGAUGUGAAAUCCCCGGGCUCAACCUGGGAACUGCAUUUGUGACUGCAUGGCUGGAGUGCGGCAGAGGGGGAUGGAAUUCCGCGUGUAGCAGUGAAAUGCGUAGAUAUGCGGAGGAACACCGAUGGCGAAGGCAAUCCCCUGGGCCUGCACUGACGCUCAUGUGCGAAAGCGUGGGGAGCAAACAGG